rnacentral:piRNA from 1 species
UACAGAAAUGUGCUGAAACUAUCAAGUGU